GUAGAAAAUUGGUCGGAGGUAAACCUGGAGCAAACAUCAGCCCUGGUCCGCCAGUGUACAUGCCGCCAUGCUGCAGGAAAGGUGGCAGGGCUUGGUUCAUCAGGGCUAUCUGUUGAUUCAUAGCAGCCAUUACAGCAGGGUUAGGAAAAUGGAAUCCGUGACUAAGAAAGGCCUGCUACAACUCUGCUCUGGUCCAUACAGGGUA
rnacentral:misc_RNA from 1 species